CCAUGGCGGUGGCUGGGGCCAUGGAGGUGGCUCG
rfam:Cavia porcellus supercont2_8 genomic scaffold, whole genome shotgun sequence.